rnacentral:lncRNA from 1 species
CCUACCUAGAACAUACUAUUCCUUAAGACAACUGAUUGAUAUAAAAGCAGUUUACCUUUGUUGUUGUUAAAACUGGGGAAUUAUGCUGUGAUCUUGUGGAAAUGUUUUCCUGUGUAGGUACUUUCCUGAAGGUAUUGACAUCUACUUCGAGAACGUAGGUGGGCCAAUGCUUGAUGCCGUACUACUCAACAUGCGAAUACAUGGACGCAUUGCAGUGUGUGGGAUGGUUUCCCAGCACGGGGUAACUGCUCCUUCUGGGAUCCACAACCUGUUCUCCCUGAUAAGCAAGAGGAUAGAGAUGAAGGGAUUCAUCCAGAGUGAUUACCUCCACCUGUUCCCACGGUUUGUCGAUGACAUCACCAAACAUUACAGAGAUGGCAAGAUUGUGUAUGUGGAAGAUAUGAGCGUCGGGCUGGAGAGUGGACCUGCGGCUUU